UGACCCACCUUGUCGAACAGGGCGGAUCAAGACGUGGUAAAUCAGCAUAAGUGCCUCGUCUAUAAAUAAACCUCGUGAAUUGCUGGGAACUCUUAAUAAGUGUAGUAACUUGUAAACCACAACGUAACUGGAAACGGUAAGCGUGAAGGUUAGAAAAUUAUAAGUUAUAUAAGACAAUCAGCAGCCAAGCUCCUACACUAAUGAUAUGGAGAAGGUUCAACGACCAUCGAAAGUACACCGAUUGUGGAAACGAGUAGAGUAGGGAUCAAGCGAUUCCGAAGCGCGAGGGCACUUGAAACAGUGUAAGAUAUGGUCUGAACUCUAAGGUGACUUAGAG
rnacentral:ncRNA from 1 species